GAUGAACGCUGGCGGCGUGCCUAAUACAUGCAAGUCGAGCGAACGGACGAGAAGCUUGCUUCUCUGAUGUUAGCGGCGGACGGGUGAGUAACACGUGGAUAACCUACCUAUAAGACUGGGAUAACUUCGGGAAACCGUAGCUAAUACCGGAUAAUAUUUUGAACCGCAUGGUUCAAAAGUGAAAGACGGUCUUGCUGUCCCUUAUAGAUGGAUCCGCGCUGCAUUAGCUAGUUGGUAAGGUAACGGCUUACCAAGGCAACGAUGCAUAGCCGACCUGAGAGGGUGAUCGGCCACACUGGAACUGAGACACGGUCCAGACUCCUACGGGAGGCAGCAGUAGGGAAUCUUCCGCAAUGGGCGAAAGCCUGACGGAGCAACGCCGCGUGAGUGACGAAGGUCUUCGGAUCGUAAAACUCUGUUAUUAGGGAAGAACAUAUGUGUAAGUAACUGUGCACAUCUUGACGGUACCUAAUCAGAAAGCCACGGCUAACUACGUG
rnacentral:rRNA from 1 species